rnacentral:lncRNA from 1 species
GGAGAAGCAGAUGCUUCCCUGGACAGGUGGCAGCUGUGGAGAUAUUAAAUGGCCAAGUCCAUGAAGUUACCUAAAGAUGGAGGAAGACGAGAUACACCUAUGGAGAGGAGAAGAGGAAAGAAGCUUGUACAUUCUAGAUACUUUGGGAUUUCUUGUACCCAACACAAGGAAGAUGUCUGGACUCCCUAGCCUGAACUCCAAGGCCACUGUAGGUCUCCGAGAAGAUAAAAAGACUAAGAAUUCAAGCCGCCACCAUCACCUGGGAGUCCAGCUACCAACGCACGUGGAAACUAUCCAUGGAGACCCCAGGUUCAGUCUGCAGCAUGGCCACAUAGUUAUUCUUCACUAAAAUAACAUCUGGCUUUCAUUCUUUAAUGACAACUCAUUUGGACAGGAC